GAGCUUGUGGCGCAUCGGUAGCGCGUCUGACUCCAGAUCAAAAGGUUACGUGUUCGAAUCACGUCAGGCUCA